ACGGCGAGCGAAGCGGCAAGAGCUCAAAUUUGAAAUCUGGCUUCCUUCGGAAGUCCGAGUUGUAAUUUGUAGAGGAUGUUCUGGAAGCACGCGCAGCAUAUGUUCCUUGGAACAGGACGUCAUAGAGGGUGAGAACCCCGUUCGUGGUUGCGUUGUGUGGACAUGUAGAGCUCCUUCGACGAGUCGAGUUGUUUGGGAAUGCAGCUCUAAGUGGGUGGUAGGAGCCAUCUAAAGCUAAAUAUAGGCGAGAGACCGAUAGCGAACAAGUACAGUGAUGGAAAGAUGAAAAGAACUUUGAAAAGAGGGUGAAACAGUACGUGAAAUUGCUGAAAGGGAAGCGUUUGAAAUCAGACAUGGCCUUUUCGAUCAUCGUUCUUCGGGGCGGUGCUCUCGAGUUGGCUGGGCCAGCAUCAGUUCUGGCGGCGAGAUAAGUGCUAGGGAAUGUGGCUCUUCGGAGUGUUAUAGCCCUGGUGGAUGUCGCCAGCUGGGACUGAGGACCGCGCUUUUGCAAGGAUGCUGGUUUAAUGAUUUCCAACGACCCGUCUU
rnacentral:rRNA from 1 species